rnacentral:rRNA from 1 species
GAUGAACGCUGGCGGCGUGCCUAAUACAUGCAAGUCGAGCGAACAGAUAAGGAGCUUGCUCCUUUGACGUUAGCGGCGGACGGGUGAGUAACACGUGGGUAACCUACCUAUAAGACUGGAAUAACUCCGUGAAACCGGGGCUAAUACCGGAUAACAUUUAGAACCUCAUUGUUCUAAAGUGAAAGAUGGUUGUGCUAUCGCUUAUAGAUGGACCCGCGCCGUAUUAGCUAGUUGGGAAGGUAACGGCUUACCAAGGCAACGAUACGUAGCCGACCUGAGAGGGGGAUCGGCCACACUGGAACGGGACCACGGUCCAGACUCCUACGGGAGGCAGCAGUAGGGAAUCUUACGCAAUGGGCGAAAGCCUGACGGAGCAACGCCGCGUGAGUGAUGAAGGUCUUCGGAUCGUAAAACUCUGUUCUUAGGGAAGAAAAAAUGUGUAAGUAACUGUGCACGUCUUGACGGUACCUAAUCAGAAAGCCACGGCUAACUACGUG